CCUCAGUGAAGAUACGAUGACGAGUCGGACCAGGACUCUGUUUGCCUCUGAGGAGGCUGCUUCAGGACCACGUUCUGUGGUUCUGUUUCAGUUCCUCAGAGCAGCGAGCUCGUUCCAGAUGAAGAUUCUGAGGCAUUUGUCUGAGAGGG